rnacentral:rRNA from 1 species
UAAUGCUUGGGAAUCUAGCUUAUGGAGAGGGAUAACUACGGGAAACUGUAGCUAAUACCGCGUAGAAUCGAGAGAUGAAAGUGUGGGACCUUCGGGCCACAUGCCAUAGGAUGAGCCCAAGUGGGAUUAGGUAGUUGGUGAGGUAAAGGCUCACCAAGCCGACGAUCUCUAGCUGGUCUGAGAGGAUGACCAGCCACACUGGGACUGAGACACGGCCCAG